rnacentral:lncRNA from 1 species
CGACCUAAUCUUGCCGGAGACGAAGGAAAGAAGACGGAAUUGAGGAAAAGAAAAGAAGGGAAUCAGAUGGCUUCACCUGCAGGUUAUUUAGUUUUCCGCAUUUGAAUUAAUCGGUGAUCAUGUGCUGAUUAGGGUAUAAAUUCGUAAUCUAUUGUUUAUGAUUGAAUUGAAUUAUCUAACAGAUUUUGCUAACGAGACCCAUCAGAGUGACUGAGGCACUAACUGAUCUUAAGAUACUUCUAAUAUAUUAAAUAAAUUAUAUAAUAUCAUUGACUUUUUAGAACAUAUCGGACCAUUCAUCUUGUCUAAAUAUAUAAGUUUUAUAUAUAUAUAUAUAUAUAUAUAUGACUUGUAACCAUAACAAAUUAAAUACUUGCUAAAAAAUCAAUAAUGUUAUUUGGUAUAAUACGGAUGGAGUAUGUAUUUACUAGCACAAUAUUGUCAUACUAAGUUAAUUAUUGCAUUACUUCAACAUUGUGGUUAUAAAAGUGUGAAACCUAUACACGGUAAAUAUUAAACUUCCAGGAAUGUUGCACAACUUUGAUUCUACUCACAAAUGUAAGUUUGUCACUGUGUAUGAGUAAUGGUGUGGCGUAGGAUUUUUUUUUAAUUAUUUGAAGGGGAGAGAAAUGGAAGAGAGGCAAGUGUUGUCCGUUGAUUACGGGGCAAUUUGUUAGAUAACUUAAUAACAUAUAUACCAUUAUAUGCACUUUAUAUAGAAUUAAAUAAGUAUAUGAAUGAAUUGCAGAUAUAUAACUGAAUAUUGCCAGGGCGGAUCCACUGCUGGACGAGCUCAUCGGGUGGGCAUGCAAUGAGAUUUGAAUAAUUUUUAUAAACUCCUCUCUCCGUUCUAUUAUAAAACAUCUUAUUUAUAUAUUAAUAUUUGAAUAUUUUAUCUAUAUAAUAAUAUAUAUAUUGUUUAUAUAUAUGUCUAGAUUUAUUAGCUAGUAUUCAUACAUGAAUCUAGAUACGUAAUGUGAGGAAGUCUUAUCUUGUGAAACAGUUGUAGCACAAAUAAACAUAGUAAAUACUUUCAUCUAGGCUCUUAAACUUUUCUUGAGGCUGUCACUGCAGAUGGCCAACUGUACAAAUUACCGUGCAUCCCUUAAUUAGAAGAGUUUCAAACUCGUCAACAACGGCUCGAUUCUUUGCAUUGUUGAUUGAGGAUAUUUUAGAAGAAUAAAUGUUUAUGAGAAAUUAAAUGAACCCAUACAUAGAACUGUAGGUACAACUACCAUACAUGUCACUUCAUAUUUAUCUGGUAUAUUAUAUAUCACCCACCAACUAAUAUAUAGGAUUAUAUAUGGAGUUGUAAAUCUACCACCGCCCACUCCUAUUGGUAGGUGACAAGACACGUGACGGUCACUAAUUAAUUAAACAGAUUCACGUAAUUAAACAGAUUCACGUAGAAAGUCCAUUCCCAAAGCUAGAAAGAAAAAAAAAGAAAAGAAAAGCAUUAAUUAGACACUAAUCUUGGAAAGAAUUGGUUGUUUAACUAAUAAUAUGUAUGCACUACAUAAAUCUGGUUCCAUUCAAUUACGAGUUAUAAGUGUACAUUGGAGAAAGAGAAUAUAACCAAAUGAAUAUGAUGUAUGGCCUAACCAAACUAGUUUAUUUUUAUUGUUCCAACAUCAUUGUUCAACAAAGUUAUCAUAUUAUUCAUGCCGUCGAAAAAGUUCUUAAUUAAUUUAUGCCGUUCAUGUUUAGUACUAAUCAACUAUGCAAAUAUAUUGCCAUCGAUGGAUAUAAAUUCUAUAAAAUACAAUCACAAAUUAAUGCGUUUUAAUUUUCUUCCCUUUUUAACAUCGUUAAUCGUUAGCUUUCUGUCAAAUACGCUUGCAGGUUAAUAUUCCAAUGAAAAUGUUCUUUUACCCGUACAAUAUAUUAAGCACUACUUAUACCGAUAGUGCACUUGUUGGGUGUGAAAUGGUUAUUUUUUUUAUAGGGCUAAUGGAGUGCAUUUGAUGGAAGGCUAACAAAGAUGACACUACGUACGGGAAGAAAAACAUGCAUGUGCGAUGGAAGCUUGCGGACAACCUACAGUGGCCAGUAGUGCUGCAGCAAUGGUGGCGAUGUAGUUGACAUGGAGCAUCGCAACCUAGGGUGCUCCUGCAGCUAGCGAUGGUGGUGAUGGAGUAAACGUGUAGCAUCACAGUUGACGAAGAAAUUGCAUAUGUGUGGAUAAGAGA